GUCAUUUCAAAAGUGGACAGCAGGAUCGAAAAGUUGACAUGAACUCAUGCAGAAUAAAUGAUCACAAAAUAAAUUAUCUAAGAUUCCCUCUAAACCCUGACCUCCAGCCCCCCUUUCAUUCCUGCUUCCAGACCUCUGAAGUGAACCCUGCUUGUGCAACAUCCACACAGUAAAAUUAUAAUGGAGACUUAGUGUUUUGACAGUAAGAGGGGAAAAAAAAAAAGUUAUGUCAUUUGUCCUCUUCUGUAUUCAAGUGGUUUCUAACAGAUUCCAGAGACAUAUUCAUGGCUGCCUGAAGCAUGUCUUCUUCACUCAUAUCACCUCCUACAGAAAAGAAAUGCAUGUUUCUUUUCUUCAUAGGAACCACCUGGGAAUAACAAAAUUCAGGUACUGUUAGGAAAACAUGUUAAGAGAUUAAAGUUAAGCUGGACCUCAGUCAGAAACCCAUCCACACCCCCAAAAGCACUGAAAAAUACAUGUACUUCCACAUACAGUUUUCUAUCAACUACUUUACUUUUC